GGGGAAACCUUCGUCAACUGUC
rnacentral:misc_RNA from 1 species